GGUCCCAUCGUCUAGUGGCCUAGGACAUCGCCCUCUCACGGCGAGAACAGGAGUUCGAGUCUCCUUGGGAUCACCA
rnacentral:tRNA from 3 species